rnacentral:misc_RNA from 1 species
UCCGGUUUGGCACCGGCAGUCUUCCUAGAGUCCCCGCCAUUACGCGCUGGCAACUAAUGACAAGGGUUGCGCUCGUUGCGGGACUUAACCCAACAUCUCACGACACGAGCUGACGACAGCCAUGCAGCACCUGUGUAUCGGUUCUCUUUCGAGCACUCCCGCCUCUCAGCGGGAUUCCGACCAUGUCAAGGGUAGGUAAGGUUUUUCGCGUUGCAUCGAAUUAAUCCACAUCAUCCACCGCUUGUGCGGGUCCCCGUCAAUUCCUUUGAGUUUUAAUCUUGCGACCGUACUCCCCAGGCGGUCGACUUCACGCGUUAGCUGCGUUACCAAGUCAAUUAAGACCCGACAACUAGUCGACAUCGUUUAGGGCGUGGACUAC